CGACGAGAGACAGCUGAGAACGGCAGCUAGUUCUGGAGUUAAAAUCAGGGUUUCUCAGUGUUAUUUUGGCGUUGGCUACGGCCCACAGUAGCCUGUGUUAACGUUUAAUAAACGUUCAGAAAACGAGAUCAGGUCUCGCUCGUCUAUCGCAGCGGGUCGCUACAAUAUGGAGCUUAAAUAGGCUCCACAGCAGACAGAUUUGAUGACCUGCAGUCAGACGUCAGCUUUAGUUCGUGACGAUCAGCACCAGAUCUUGACCCACAAACACCAAUUAGCAGAAAACGAGGUCAACAUUUGCAUCUCCAUCGACACCAACAGCCAAAACAAAUGACGGUGACAGGGAUGUCAGGAAUGUUCCUGUGGCUCAUCUGGGUGAGGACACGCAGCCCGUGUCCACUGCAACACGCAUGCGCCACCCGGCUCUGAUCCUCAUUUGGAAACCGGCAGCGUGAGGAGCAGCUUCCAGGUUCUCCCACUGUCAGGAAUGCCGUGGUUCUCUUAGGAGAAGUUCUCUCUGCUGGGAAUCCCGGACCAACGGACCUCUGAGAGAGCUGCAGCAGAUGGGCCGGAUUGGACCCUCUGGAGGACCGCUUUUGGCCCACGGGCCUCAUGUUGGACACCCCUGGUUUAGAGUAUCACCUCUGAUGUUUUUUUUCUGCCCUCGACUCGACAAUCCCACAACUUCUUAUCUCUCUGCACGGCUGUUCUACCUCCACCUCACUGACACACAACAACGCACACUAACACACACUGUUACACACCGACACACACUCCAGCCUCUCCUCUGUGGUCUACAAACCUCCUCCUGCUCUGUGCUUCUCUGAUACGUGAACUUUGUGGUUUUUUUGUUGCUCCAGUUUCAGUUUUUUGUGUGUCGCUCUCGUGUUGUUUGUGAAUAAACAGAUUUCAG
ensembl:lncRNA